GAUGAAGAACGCAGCGAAAUGCGAUAAGUAAUGUGAAUUGCAGAAUUCAGUGAAUCAUCGAAUCUUUGAACGCACAUUGCGCCCGCCAGUAUUCUGGCGGGCAUGCCUGUUCGAGCGUCAUUUCAACCCUCAAGCCCCAGCGGCCUGGUGUUGGGGACCGGCGACCUCGCCCGAGCCCGCCCUCCGGGGCGCGUGCCCGGUGCGUCCGCCGCCCCCGAAAUGAAUUGGCGGCCUCGUCGCGGCCUCCUCUGCGUAGUAGCACAACCUCGCAAGCGGGAGCGCGACGCGGCCACUGCCGUAAAACGCCCAACUUUUUUGGAGUUGACCUCGGAUCAGGUAGGAAUACCCGCUGAACUUAAGCAUAUCAAUAAGCGGAGGA
rnacentral:misc_RNA from 1 species